AUUGAACGCUGGCGGCAGGCCUAACACAUGCAAGUCGAGCGAGCGGCGGGCGGGUGAGUAAUGCCUGGAAAUUGCCCACUGGAGGGGGAUACCGGUUGGAAACGAUGGCUAAUACCCCUAACGAUUGGAUUGUAUCGCUGGGGUUAGUGAGUUGGUGAGGUAAUGGCUCACCAAGGCGACGAUCCCUAGCUGGCCAGAGAGGAUGAUCGGCCACACUGGAACUGAGAAACGGCCCAGACUCCUACGGGAGGCAGCGGUGGGGAAUAUUGCACAAGGGGGGAAACCCGGAGGCAGAAAGGCCGCGUGUGUGAAGAAGGCCUUCGGGUUGUAAAGUACGUUCAGCGGGGAGGCGUUACUGGCAGAAGAAGCACCGGCUAACUCCGUGCCAGCAGCCGCGGUAAUAC
rnacentral:rRNA from 1 species